GACGAACGCUGGCGGCGUGCCUAAUACAUGCAAGUUGAGCGCUGAAGGUUGGUACUUGUACCAACUGGAUGAGCAGCGAACGGGUGAGUAACGCGUGGGGAAUCUGCCUUUGAGCGGGGGACAACAUUUGGAAACGAAUGCUAAUACCGCAUAAAAACUUUAAACACAAGUUUUAAGUUUGAAAGAUGCAAUUGCAUCACUCAAAGAUGAUCCCGCGUUGUAUUAGCUAGUUGGUGAGGUAAAGGCUCACCAAGGCGAUGAUACAUAGCCGACCUGAGAGGGUGAUCGGCCACAUUGGGACUGAGACACGGCCCAAACUCCUACGGGAGGCAGCAGUAGGGAAUCUUCGGCAAUGGACGAAAGUCUGACCGAGCAAACGCCGCGUGAGUGAAAGAAAGGUUUUCGGAUCGUAAAAACUUCUGUUG
rnacentral:rRNA from 1 species